UACGGAGGGAGCUAGCGUUGUUCGGAAUUACUGGGCGUAAAGCGCGCGUAGGCGGCUUUGUAAGUUAGAGGUGAAAGCCCGGGGCUCAACCCCGGAACUGCCUUUAAGACUGCAUCGCUUGAAUCCAGGAGAGGUGAGUGGAAUUCCGAGUGUAGAGGUGAAAUGCGUAGAUAUACGGAGGAACACCAGCGGCGAAGGCGGGUAGCUGGGCCAACACUGACGCUGAUGCGCGAAAGCUAGGGUAGCAAACGGG
rnacentral:rRNA from 1 species